rnacentral:lncRNA from 1 species
CUCUGAGAGUGAGAGCGUUGAGAGGGGGUAAGAGGACCUAGGAGAGGGCUCGCUCCUCAAUACAUUAGUGAUGGGCUCAGUCCCCAAAGUAUUUUUCAUGAAGCCCAGUUGAGGCCCAAUAUAUGGUACACAACGUAAAUUCGAGGUCUUGGAACAACAUUAUGUACCAUAUAUUCUGAGGCCAAUUCCUAGGCCAAUUCUCAGGCCAUUUUUAGGCCAAUUCCUAGGCCCUCUCACCCCC